AGCGGGCUACCAGCUCAAAAUUUGAAAUCUGGCCUCCUUUGGUGGUCCGAGUUGUAAUUUGCAGAGGAUGCUUUGGCAUUGGCGGCGGUCUAAGUUCCUUGGAACAGGACAUCGCAGAGGGUGAGAAUCCCGUACGUGGGCGCCUGCCUUUGCCGUGUAAAGCUCCUUCGACGAGUCGAGUUGUUUGGGAAUGCAGCUCUAAAUGGGAGGUAAAUUUCUCCUAAAGCUAAAUACCGGCCAGAGACCGAUAGCGCACAAGUAGAGUGAUCGAAAGAUGAAAAGUACUUUGGAAAGAGAGUCAAAUAGCACGUGAAAUUGUUGAAAGGGAAGCGCUUGCAGCCAGACUUGCCCGCAGUUGCUCACCCAGGCUCUCGCCUGGGGCACUCUUCUGCGGGCAGGCCAGCAUCAGUUUGGGCGGUCGGAUAAAGGCUCCUGUCAUGUACCACCCCUCGGGGUGGCCUUAUAGGGGGGGCGUAAUGCGACCAGCCCGGACUGAGGUCCGCGCAUCUGCUAGGAUGCUGGCGUAAUGGCUGUAAGCGGCCCGUCUUGAAACACGGACCAAGGAGUCUAACAUCUAUGCGAGUGUUUGGGUGUCAAGCCCGGGCGCGCAAUGAAAGUGAACGGAGGUGGGAACCUUUGGGUGCACCAUCGACCGAUCCUGAUGUCUUCGGAUGGAUUUGAGUAAGAGCAUAGCUGUUGGGACCCGAAAGAUGGUGAACUAUGCUUGAAUAGGGUGAAGCCAGAGGAAACUCUGGUGGAGGCUCGCAGCGGUUCUGACGUGCAAAUCGAUCGUCAA
rnacentral:rRNA from 1 species